rnacentral:rRNA from 1 species
UGGGGAAUAUUGCACAAUGGGCGAAAGCCUGAUGCAGCGACGCCGCGUGAGGGAUGACGGCCUUCGGGUUGUAAACCUCUUUCAGCAGGGACGAAGCGCAAGUGACGGUACCUGCAGAAGAAGCACCGGCUAACUACGUGCCAGCAGCCGCGGUAAUACGUAGGGUGCAAGCGUUGUCCGGAAUUACUGGGCGUAAAGAGUUCGUAGGCGGUUUGUCGCGUCGUUUGUGACAACCAGCAGCUCAACUGCUCGCUUGCAGGCGAUACGGGCAGACUUACGUACUGCAGGUGAGACUUGAAUUCCUGGUGUAGCGGUGAAAUGCGCAGAUAUCAGGAGGAACUCCGGUGGCGACUGCUGGUCUCUCGGCAGUAACUGACGCUGAGGAACGAAAGCGUGGGUAGCGAACAGG